AUUUAACUCAAUGUACGGAUUUUGUGAAGUGUUGUUUACCAUUAUUAUGUAUUAUUUAUCUAGCAGCACCCCUGGAAUGAAUUAACUUACACUCUGCUUCAGCUUGUACCACCAGAGCUUAUAGUCCAAGCGGGAACAUGCAAGCCCUCUUUCAUUCAGGAGUAUCCUGAUUGCAUGAAUGAUAUGCAUAGAAACACUCAUCACUUGAGGAGUCUAUUACAGAAUUAUAUCUUUAACUCACGUGCAAAACUAAUCAUAUGAAGAAUGUUCAUGUUGCAGUUGGUUGAGAAGAAUAAUACAACAGUAAGUCAAAAAGCUUUUUAUCUUUUUUUUUUUUUUUUUUUUUAAUCCACUGAUGCUUUAUUCUAUCUGAACUCAUCACUAGGAGACAUCAAAAAUCUUUACAAAUUGAGUUACCGAGGCAACAUCAUAGGGAUGUGCAUGGAAAUCUAAGCCUUGAUUUACUUAUUUUUAAUUAGUAAGUGCUCCAUGUAGUGCAGUGAAACAAAUGUCCUCGCUAGAGUUUCUCCAUUUAAAGUACUUUAUGAGAAAAGUUCAGGUUUUUAAGCAUUUAAAUCAGUGUAAUUGCCUUUGACAUGUCUGCUGCUUUUCAUAUUUUUCUCUCCAAAAUGUAUUGCUCUUUUGCUGCCUCGUUCUCCCUGCGUAUCUGAUCUCUUCCACCUUCAGAUUAUCUUUCUUAGUACUCCCAACCUCCACCUCAACAGUAAGGCUUCAAUGGACAAUGCUGUUUGAAUCAUAAAUUUAAUACCACUGCACCAUGAAGGACACCAUCAGGUCUAACUACACUCACAAG
rnacentral:lncRNA from 1 species